GAUGAACGCUGGCGGCGUGCUUAACACAUGCAAGUCGAACGGGAAUUUCUUUAUUGAAACUUCGGUCGAUUAAAUUUAAUUCUAGUGGCGGACGGGUGAGUAACGCGUGGGUAGCCUGCCUUAUACAGGGGGAUAACAGUCAGAAAUGGCUGCUAAUACCGCAUAAGCGCCCAGAGCUGCAUGGUUCGGUGUUAAAAACUCCGGUGGUCUACGAUGGACCCGCGUUGGAUUAGCUUGUUGGUGGGGUAACGGCCCACCAAGGCGACGAUCCAUAGCCGGCCUGAGAGGGUGAACGGCCACAUUGGGACUGAGACACGGCCCAGACUCCUACGGGAGGCAGCAGUGGGGAAUAUUGCACAAUGGGGGAAACCCUGAUGCAGCGACGCCGCGUGAAUGAAGAAGUAUCUCGGGAUGUAAAGUUCUAUCAGCAGGGAAGAUAGUGACGGUACCUGAAGAAGAAGCCCCGGCUAACUACGUG
rnacentral:rRNA from 1 species